AGUUUGAUCCUGGCUCAGGACGAACGCUGGCGGCGUGCCUAAUACAUGCAAGUCGAGCGGACAGAUGGGAGCUUGCUCCCUGAUGUUAGCGGCGGACGGGUGAGUAACACGUGGGUAACCUGCCUGUAAGACUGGGAUAACUCCGGGAAACCGGGGCUAAUACCGGAUGCUUGUUUGAACCGCAUGGUUCARACAUAAAAGGUGGCUUCGGCUACCACUUACAGAUGGACCCGCGGCGCAUUAGCUAGUUGGUGAGGUAACGGCUCACCAAGGCGACGAUGCGUAGCCGACCUGAGAGGGUGAUCGGCCACACUGGGACUGAGACACGGCCCAGACUCCUACGGGAGGCAGCAGUAGGGAAUCUUCCGCAAUGGACGAAAGUCUGACGGAGCAACGCCGCGUGAGUGAUGAAGGUUUUCGGAUCGUAAAGCUCUGUUGUUAGGGAAGAACAAGUGCCGUUCAAAUAGGGCGGCACCUUGACGGUACCUAACCAGAAAGCCACGGCUAACUACGUGCCAGCAGCCGCGGUAAUACGUAGGUGGCAAGCGUUGUCCGGAAUUAUUGGGCGUAAAGGGCUCGCAGGCGGUUUCUUAAGUCUGAUGUGAAAGCCCCCGGCUCAACCGGGGAGGGUCAUUGGAAACUGGGGAACUUGAGUGCAGAAGAGGAGAGUGGAAUUCCACGUGUAGCGGUGAAAUGCGUAGAGAUGUGGAGGAACACCAGUGGCGAAGGCGACUCUCUGGUCUGUAACUGACGCUGAGGAGCGAAAGCGUGGGGAGCGAACAGGAUUAGAUACCCUGGUAGUCC
rnacentral:rRNA from 1 species